AGCAGCCGCGGUAAUUCCAGCUCCAAUAGCGUAUAUCAAAGUUGUUGCAGUUAAAAAGCUCGUAGUUGAAUUUCGGGGUUAGUAAGUUGGUCAUGCCUCCGGUAUGCACUGGCUUUACUGAUUCCUCCUUCUUGAUGAACUGUAAUGUCAUUAAUUUGGUGUUGCAGGGAAUCAGGACUGUUACUUUGAAAAAUUAGAGUGUUUAAAGCAGGCAUACGCUUGAAUACAUUAGCAUGGAAUAAUGAAAUAGGACGUUUGAUCCUAUUUUGUUGGUUUCUAGGAUUGACGUAAUGAUUAAUAGGGAUAGUUGGGGGUAUUAGUAUUCAAUUGUCAGAGGUGAAAUUCUUGGAUUUAUUGAAGACUAACUACUGCGAAAGCAUUUGCCAAGGAUGUUUUCAUUAAUCAAGAACGAAAGUUAGGGGGAUCGAAGACGAUCAGAUACCGUCGUAGUCUUAAACCAUAAACUAUGCCGACUAGGGAUCGGAUGAUGUUAUUUUUAAUGACUCAUUCGGCG
rnacentral:rRNA from 1 species